UGUAUGGGGGACCCCAAAACCCCAUUGUCUGUAUGGGGACCCCAAAAACCCCAUUGUCUGUAUGGGGACCCCAAAAACCCCAUUGUGUGUAUGGGGGACCCCAAUAAACCCUAUUGUGUGUAUGGGGACCCCAAAAACCCCAUUGUGUGUAUGGGGGACCCCAAAAACCCCAUUAAAUGUAUGGGGGACCCCAAAAACCCCAUUGUCUGUGUGGGGACCCCAAAAACCCCAUUAAGUGUAUAUGGGGGACCCCAAUAAACCCUAUUGUGUGUAUGGGGACCCCAAUAAAUCCCAUUGUGUGUAUGGGGGGCCCCAAAAAUCCCACUGUGUGUAUAUGGGGGACCCCAAAAACCCCAUUAAAUGUAUGGGGACCCCAAAAACCCCAUUGUGUGUAUGGGGGACCCCAAUAAACCCUAUUGUGUGUAUGGGGGACCCCAAAAAACCCCAUUAUCUUUAUGGGGGACCCCAAAGUGACCCCAUUGUGUGUAUGGGGGACCCCAAAAACCCCACUGUGUGUAUACGGGGGACCCCAAAAACCCCAUUGUGUGUAUGGGGGACCCCAAAAACCCCACUGUGUGUAAUGGGGACCCCAAAAACCCCAUUGUGUAUAUGGGGGACCCCAAUAAACCCCAUUGUCUGUGUGGGGGACCCCAAAAACCCCAUUGUGUGUAUGGGGGACCCCAAAAACCCCAUUAAAUGUAUGGGGGACCCCAAUAAAUCCCAUUGUGUGUAGGGGGACCCCAAAACCCCACUGUGUGUAUAUGGGGGACCCCAAAAACCCCAUUGUGUGUAUGGGGACCCCAAAAACCCCAUUAAAUGUAUAUGGGGGACCCCAAAAACC
rnacentral:lncRNA from 7 species